rnacentral:misc_RNA from 1 species
UCCUGGUUCACCCAGGCAGUCUCGUUAGAGUUCCCACCUUAUAUGUUGGCAACUAACGAUAAGGGUUGCGCUCGUUGCGGGACUUAACCCAACACCUCACGGCACGAGCUGACGACAGCCAUGCAGCACCUGUGCAGAGGCCCCGUAGGGCGUAGUCAUUUCUGCCUACUUCCUCUGCAUGUCAAGUCUGGGUAAGGUUCUUCGCGUUGCAUCGAAUUAAACCACAUGCUCCACUGCUUGUGCGGGUCCCCGUCAAUUCUUUUGAGUUUCACCCUUGCGAGCGUACUCCCCAGGCGGCAUACUUAUCACCUUAGCUUCGGCACAGUCGGGGUUGAUUCCAACUACACCAAGUAUGCAUCGUUUACGGCAAGGACUAC